rnacentral:misc_RNA from 1 species
GAUGAAGAACGCAGCGAAAUGCGAUAAGUAGUGUGAAUUGCAGAAUUCAGUGAAUCAUCGAAUCUUUGAACGCACAUUGCGCCCUUUGGUAUUCCAAAGGGCAUGCCUGUUCGAGCGUCAUUUGUACCCUCAAGCUUUGCUUGGUGUUGGGCGUCUUGUCUCUAGCUUUGCUGGAGACUCGCCUUAAAGUAAUUGGCAGCCGGCCUACUGGUUUCGGAGCGCAGCACAAGUCGCACUCUCUAUCAGCAAAGGUCUAGCACCCAUUAAGCCUUUUUUUCAACUUUUGACCUCGGAUCAGGUAGGGAUACCCGCUGAACUUAAGCAUAUCAUAAGCGGAGGA